rnacentral:rRNA from 1 species
UACGUAGGGAGCAAGCGUUGUUCGGAUUUACUGGGCGGAAAGGGCGCGUAGGCGGCGCGGUAAGUCACUUGUGAAAUCUCUGAGCUUAACUCAGAACGGCCAAGUGAUACUGCAGUGCUAGAGUGCAGAAGGGGCAAUCGGAAUUCUUGGUGUAGCGGUGAAAUGCGUAGAUAUCAAGAGGAACACCUGAGGUGAAGACGGGUUGCUGGGCUGACACUGACGCUGAGUGCGCGAAAGCCAGGGGAGCGAACGGG